CCUUGCCUCUGCCUCCCAGAGUGCUGGGAUUACAGGCAUGAGCCAUCACACCGGGCCAUGAAAAAUAUUUUUUCAAGAAAUACUCCUUUUCACAGUUCUGUAGCAAGAGUUUUCACCUGAGUUAAGUGUGAGAACGACAAGGACAGUCGUUUAGUUUGGUGUGAUCCCUCCAAGGAAAGUCCCUGACACCCCUGUAGGCUCACUUCUGAGCUUGGGGCUUUCUCUAGAACCUCCCAUGCCUCAGUUUCCAUCAGUCUCUUCCCAACUUUUUUUCAUACAACCCUAAGCUGAACUUCAGUGAAACCCAGAGAAGACCAAGAGAAGUAAUACUUUGAAAAUCUUUAUGAAAUUCCUAUGUAAUGAUUACGGAGUAAGUAGAAUCACUUGCUUUUAAUUGUCAUGUCUUGGCUCACUCUUCCCAGCACCUCACCAUGGUCUUUCCUUCGAGCCCAGGGGAAUGGGAAAGAGGCCUGGCAGGGAGGAUCCGUCCGCCACUGCUGCAGAUCCCGAGCUUUGGGGUUGUUAGGAGGCAGCUGUCCUGGGCUUGCUGCCCUUGGGGCCUGGGAGUGGUGGUUCUUCCUUAAGCAGCUCCCUUCUCUAGCCCCCAUUCUGUCCUACAUCACAAGCUGCAAGGUUGGUAGACCCCAGGUGCCUCCUGUGUGACCUCCACCGCUCUAGACCAAAGGUUCCAAUCUCAGCACUUGACUGUGGGGCCAGAUGUUUUGUUGUGGGGCUGCCCAGUGGCCCUGCUGCGCAGUGGCCCUG